rnacentral:lncRNA from 10 species
AGUGUAAAUUCUCCUGGAGCCUGUCAAGCUAUGUUUGAACUCGUUCCAGGAUAGUGGAUUUACUUUUUUUUCCCCACCAGGAAGAAUACUCGAUUAGACUGCAUUUUGCCUUGCUUUUCCUUCUCCCUUUCUCUCUCUUUCUUUCUUUCUUUCUUUCUUUCUUUCUUUCUUUCUUUCUUUCUUUCUUUCUUUCUUUCUUUCUUUCUUUUUCUUUCUCUCUCUCUCUCUCUUUCUUUCUUUCCUUUCUUUUCUUUCUUUCCUCUUUCUCUUUCCUUCUUUCUUUUUUUCUUCUUUCUUUCCUUCCUUCCUUCCAUCUUUCUUUUCUUUCUUUCCAUUUUUUUUUUCCUCCAGAAGAAUGGAAACAGUAUUCUUUUCCGAUCAGUUCAGUAAUACAAUGUCCUUCAGUGUCCAUAUGAGCAUUUCAGUGGAGAAGAAAAGAAACUUUGCUACCUGGGAACUGAAGACUACUUAGUGAAGAUCCCGGUGUUACACAUCCAAUCGUUCACCUCCUUCCAAGACUAUGACAUUCCAGGAAACCUUCACUGCUAAGAGGAACUAAGAUCUAGAGUAUCUCCUCGAGGAAGUACAACUGCAUUAUAAAUUAAGGAGGAAUAGUAACAAAGAGCUUGAAGACAUGCACAGCUCACAGGCCCCGGGUGGAGGCUGGCGACAUCAGACAGACAGAACCAAGACAUCUGAGGGGCAACCAGGAGGUGCGUGUGGCUGCAGAGCACACAGACUUGUCUUUGGACAAAAUUGAGAAGAACUCAUAAACUUGGCUUCCUCGCUUCUGCUCCUCAGACGCGCGUGGAUGAUUUGAAGAUAUUAGCCUAACAAGAUGGAAGCAGGUUUAAAAUUUUACAUAAGAAGUUACCUUUUUCAGUUGUGUUGAUGUUCCUUUCAGCUGGUCCUAUAGUACCCCUCCUCAGGAAUGUCUCCCCAGUGCAAGGACAAAGACUGAAGAGACUGCUAUAUUGAUGGACUCUCAAGCCAACUAUGAAGUUGAAACAAAGAAAGUGAUCACCUGAAGACACCUCCUCUGCUAAGAAACACCCCCAAAUUGUGCAGCUUCUGCCACUAGAACUCUCAGAACAAGAGACAAUCUUUUCAAGAAACAGAAAAACUCAAUAAUGACAUCUAGAUUUUCAUGAGCCAAGAACUUUCCCUUCCUCAUGUGUAUUCCUCUGUUUGUACUUAAAUUCAUGUGACAUUCAUUUUUUUCCUAGUAUGGAUAUGCUUAUUAAUGCACUUGUUUCAAAAUCCCAAAUUGCACAAAUGUGUUAAUAUUUUAAGAAACAAAAUGAAUCCUACAAGGAGAAUGAUUUUUAGCCACACAUAGGGUUGGAUCUUGAGAGUGACCUACAGAAUAAAAGUACUUUUAAAAUAAAGUAGUCAGAGGCUAUUCAAAGGGUAAAAUAAUCAUAGUACCACAUUGGUCCACUUGACACUAACCAAUCGAUCAUUUUUUUUUAAUCAAGAAAGCUAGAUUCUAUCAGAUAAAAUCACUGCUUCUAAAGAGUUUAAAUCUAGUUAGAAAAAGUUAUAGAAAUGUUUGCAAAGAUAAGUAACAGAUAGAGUCAGUAGAGGAUAAGAUCAAAAACAAAACCAAGCAAAAGAUGAGUUCAGGGGAGUUUGCCAUCAAGUUGGCAAAACUGACUUACUUAGGGAAGAAAGUUAUAAAACAGGAAAAUAUGAGAUGAACCUUGAGUGAUGUGGAAGAUUUAGAUAAAUGGAAAGGAAGGAGAAAAUGGAGUUCUUUAGGUGGUUGUAAUUGGAGGAGGAAAUGAAUACACACAUCUUGUUGACUUAAACCCAGACAUUCAGCAGCUCUCUAUACAUAUCUGGAAAAGACUGCACAGUCACCUCCUGUCUCUCACCCCAGGUAUUACUUAGAAUUAUUAUCAUAUUUCCCUUCCUUUAAAGUAAGUAAGGGUGAUUGGUGACAAUAUGGAGAACUAUGAUUUUUCCAUUAACCUAAUAAUAAUUGGUAUUUAUUGAGUUCUGUUAAGCAUUUUACAUAUUAACUCACUUAAGCCUUUCAACAGCCUUGCAAAAUAGGUAUUAUUAUCCCCAUUUUACAGGCAAGAAAACUGAGGUUUAAGUAACUUGCCGAAGUGCCAUAUACAGGGCUCACAUUCAGUAUUGCAGUUGCAAAGCUCAUGAUCUAUAGUGCCAAGUUGCAAUAUUGUAGUCAAUGUCACAAUUAUUACCCCUUUUUAUAUUCCUUGAUAUUUUUCCAUGGCAAACAAUUAGCUAUUUCAUUUAAUAAUCACCUAAAACUUUUCAGUCUUCUGAUUAAAAUUACGCUGGAGUGAUAGAAUGUAUUUUCAUGAUAGAAAUUGGGAAAAAAAAUGGGGAAUGAAGUUUAUCAGCAUUUCAGACUUGUUUUUUUUUUUUUUUUUUGCAAGACUUUGAUGAGAUUGUUCACUUUUGUCUAUGUAAAAUCCCAAAUCCUUGAGAAUAAAAAAGGGGGAGGUUUAAGUCACUUGUUGCAAUGCCCUUUUUAAUAGAGGCAAUAAAUCUAAAGGCCAUAAAUUUAGAGUGACUUACAGAAGAUCGAACUUUGGAGUGUGGCAGAGUAAGGGAUGGAAACCGGGCCCUCCAGUUCACUAUCAGUAGCUUUUGCACUGGUCUGCCCUUCCUAAAUUAAGUAUGCACUUCAAUUUGAUGAGUGGAAACAGUCUAUCUGGGCAGUAACCAGGGAGCUUUGUGCCUAGUAGAUUGCUUCUGUUCUGCACUUCUUUGGUUUCCCACCUCAAUGUAAAAAAUAGCUAGCAAUGAAGUCCAGAAGUUGUCAAUGGUUCAUCCCCAGAAGAAUGCAUAAUGUCCAAAGUUGUAUGUGUAUGAUGUCUUCAAUGGUAUUAAGUUAUUUCAAAUUCUUAGUUCACCUACAUAAAUCAUUUCUAACAAGCAUCUUCUUAACCAACUUUAUGCACAGUGUAUGUUUGUAAGUGCUUCUGCACGAAUGUUUAUACAUGACUGUUUCCAUAGUACUUAUGUUUUUAAAAAUAUUCAGUCAUUUCCUACUAUAAUCCUCAUGUAUCCAUGUAACUGACUCAAAAAUACUUCAGCCACAGAAAGCUAAAACUGAGCAAAUCUCAUUCUUCUUUUCCAUCCCCUUUGCAUGUGGCUGGCAUUUAGUAAUGAUUAAUAAUAUGGCCAGCUGAAUAACAGAGGUUUGAGACACAAUUCUUUCUCAAAGGAGUCAGCUAAGCUGGGUCUACUUAUGGACAAACAUCUAAAUGUGUGGAAGUAUCUGAUAUUUGACAAUGGUAAAUUUCCACUUAGCUAGCUAGCAUUGUCAGACUUCAAUCUCCUCAUGGCUCUGGCCGUCCUGUUUUAAGCAUGAUAAUUGUUGGCCACAUCUCACAUAGUUCUCAUUGAGUGAGUUCAUAAAUAAACAGGGUUUUUUUUUUUUUUUAAAGAGCAGCCAAGCACAAAGUGUGACUUUGUUGACAUUUUAUGUGACUUUGUCAUAUGUUCCUAACCCCCAAUAAAAGCAAUGUUGCAUCAACUGUGAAUUUGUGUUGAUUUCUUGAAAAAGCAUGCUCUUAUAAUUUAUUUGUUUUCACUAGUGUAUAUCAAAGUUAGUUUCAAGAUCCACGAGGAACAAGUCAGCUAAUGUGAUAGGAAAAUUUAAAUGUGGAGACAACUUCUAAAGGAUCCCAUGUUACCUUUAAAUAAAAGGUACUGUCAUCUACCAAGUCAGAAACCAAGGUCUGGUCCUUGUCUCUUCCAUCUCCGCCAGCCAUGGUCAAUCACUCAGAUACAGUUAAGCUAAUGAUCUCGAGAGGAUAUCGUCCUGGAUAAGGGUGGAGCCUACGCCCAAAAACAAGAUUACCUGAAAGAGAAAAGAAAGGGGGAAAACACACAGAGAUACAGUCGGGGAGGCCACAUGAAGAUGGAGGCAGAGACAGGAGUGAUGAGCCUGCAAGCCAAGGAAUGCCAAGGGCUGCCAGCAGCCAUGAGAAGCUGAGAGACACAGAGAACGAGUCCUCUGCCAGAGCCUCCAGAAGGAACUAACCCUGUCAAUACCUUGAUUUCGGACUUCUGGACUCCAGAACUAUAACCCUCCUUCCUCCACCUCACAAAAACUCACAAGCUGCAACCCUUCUGAUGUCCACUCCCACACAAACCAGCUUCAGGCCUUUUUCAAGUGGAUGCUGUGGGGCACCACCUCCUUGAGGACCAAGGCACUCCAGCUGCCAGGAAUUUGGCUGCUAACCUCACACAGCUGAGCCUUCCAUGAAAAUUGCUCUCUGCCAAAGAGAACUUCCUAGUCCAAGGUCAUGUCUACUCUCCAGAGAUGUGACUGGAGUGAUUUGCACCCGGAUGCCUAGACUCGCCAUCUGCUCAAAGACUGCUCAGAAAGCCCUCCCAUGCAUUCCCCUGCUGCAUACCAGCCCACUCUGCCUGCAGCUGCUGUCUGCAGGACUUCAUAUCUAUGCCACACUGUGUAAAAGCUGUGCUUCAAGAAAUCACAAAAACAUUUUCCUGCACCUACUACACAGCCUGAGUGCGGCAUAAGUUGACCUUGCUUGCUAAGAAAUGGGGCAAGAAAUGCUUUUUUGUGUGUGUCAUGUCUGUUUGUUUUUCAAUUAAGAGAGGAAAGCAUUAGGCAGAUGGAAUGUACAUGUGAGGAUGAGGAGACAGAAAACAAGUAGCCCUUUCCAUCAAGAUAGAGGGUUUUCUGGGGUUGCUGGCUAUUGAAUGUCACUCCUGAUUUCUCUUUCCAAGGCACUGUACCACCAGCCUACUGAGAUUGUGUGGGAGCUUUCAUGGGGGUUGUAUUUCACUGAUGAAAAUAAAUUUUUUGCAUAAUGUG